AUUUGGGACUUGGAGGGAAGGGGUGCACAGCCAGGCUCCUCUGCCUGCGGGGAGGGAGUCUUUUUGGUUUCUGGUGGCUGGAACCACUGAAGUCUAUAAACGUGCAUGACCCUGGCCAGAUUUCAGGAGCGAUCCUAAGCAGGUCUGAGAAUCCCAAUGAAGUUUUUCAGUGGGGCUUACUUCUAGGGAAGUGCCUCGCCACAAAGGCCGCUUGUUGGGCAAAGCAUUGAGCUCAAUGGGAAUAACUUUUAAUUAUUGCGUACUAUUGCAUACAUUUUUAUUUCCCCUGUGUGGUAUGUCCCAUUGCUGUGUUCAGAUUUGUGAGUUGGGGCAUGUUCUAUAAUGUGGUGGUGAUUUUGAGUUAACUGGUGCAAAAAAGUCAUUCUUUGGUAGUGGUGGAGGGCAGCUGCCCAUACGGGGGGAGGGGGGCGCAAAACUCAGAUUUCACCCCUGGCUCCGUUUUUCCUAGUUACACCUCUGCUCAGGUGAGAGUUUCUAACUCCAUACUUGCCACAGUUCAUGAGAAGGUGCACAGUUUCUCAUUUCUUCCAAACAUGAUUGAUGCUGUUUUGCCUGGUUUCUUGGAGAGGUGGCAUAGAAUUUUUUUUAAGUACCUACACAGUAAACAAAUAUUUCAUCUUUUAAAAAAUUACUUAAAAUAUAAAUUGAUUAUUACUUUUUAAAAAAUCCUUCUGCCACAUUGAAUGAAUUAUGAUUAGUUGUAUUCUCAGAUGUCUAGUUAAGGCCAUAAAAGUUGUAAAAGUCCCUUUUUCUGAAAGCAAGACCAUUCCUGUUAAACUGAGCUGUGAAUCCCCUUCUGUUGGAAUAUUUUGCACUUAUUUGGUCACUUAAUGACAGCUUCACUUAUGACUCCAUGUUAGCCAGUAUUCCACUUUCCCAGAUCACUCCCUGAGACCUUUCGUUCUUGGCAAUACAUAAUACAGUUGCCUCCGAUAUUUGGACCUACAAUGAAGGAUAAGUCUCUGUCCUUAUUCUGCCACUUCAAACUGAAAACAGGGGCUUAUAUUAUUAUACCCCUCUGUACAAAAUUUUUCCCUCCAUCUAGAAAAGCUAGGUAGCAGGAAAGACAAGUCUGCUUCUAGCUUUCCCCUUAGGUGUGCUGGUUUUCUGGUAUUGUUUUGGUGUGGAGGAAGAGUCAACUGUACAACCCCCCUCUCCCCCAAGCAGUAUGAAGUACUCCAAUCCAGACACUGUUUUACUACCUCAGUGAGACUCAAGCUUUGAGGUCUAUGAUUCCAAAUUUGUUUUAUGGACAUGAACACUUUCCUUGGUUAUCACACAGAACCAACUAAAGGCAUAUUUUGGCAGAAACUGUUAAGUUGCAUUUCUUAGAAAACAAAUGUGCCUGUUCGUGUUUCCAGUACUAAGACGUUCUAUAAAUUGUUGCUGGGGAGAAAUAGGAAGUGAAGUUUUAAUUUGGUCUCUGGCCAAUUCUAGUAAAAACUGAACUAGUGGCAGCUGAAAUUCAGCCAUGUAGAAUUUGCUUUUCCUUUUUGUACCAUGUGGAGUACCUGGUAAUUUCCCACUACAUGGCAGCAAACAGCUUAUCGCAUUUUACAUGCCAUGUUGUGAAGUACCACUUUUGAAUCACUUCACAUGAAAGACUUUCACAUAGUGAGUUUCUACAGAAUUAGGUUUCAACUAAUUACUGCAUCCUUAUUUGUUUAUUUGAAUAGCUCUUCAGCUGAGUUUCCAUGAGAAGAUAACGCUGUUGAGUCUUUGGAAGGAUUAUUCCUCUAGAAUUAACAUCCUACCACUCAACAGACAGUUUGAAACCUUUCUCCAAUCCCCUUGUAGCUUCGCCUCUGUAUUGAACUCUCUGUAUUUUGGCCGUUGUGUCUACCAUGUACUUGAGAGUCUUACUUAAUUCCUUCAGUGUCCUUAUCAAGAACUUGUUUAAUACCAAGGGACUGAUGGAAAGCAUUUGCAAAUGCAAUUUUUUUUCCUGCCCUACUGAGCAUAUAAAGUAUGCUGAGCAUAUAAAGAAUUCUGAAAAGUUUAUGUUGAAAAAGGCUACAGUGCAGAUAGAUGGGCCAACUGAAGCUGGCUUCAGUUGGCCCAUCUUCCCCCAUGGGUACUUGUAGACAUAAGAGAGUGUGUUGUCAUAAAAGCAAGGUGGGGUAAAUUUCACCCAACUUCCCAUUCUCACUGCACAACUUAGGUUCCAUGGCCUUUGUACACCAGACUUCUGUGUAUACCCUGUGACCUCUAACAUCAGCUUAUUUCUAUUAUCUUUCCUUGCUGGGGGAAAUGGGUAGAUGGGUAACAGAAGCUUUUGCAAGGACUUUCCAUUGGUGGUUGCUUAGAUCCAACUCAAAAUCUUUUCAUAUAAAUCCAGGGGGAAAAGUAUAAAAACAUCUGUAUCUUGCACACUUAACCGGAAUAUCAGAAACCAUUUUACAACAUACUCUAGUCAAACAAACAUUUGGGAUAAUUCACUUUACAGUAGGUUUACCAUGUCAAAAGUCUAUUUAUGGCAUUUUGACCCAUCCUCUUUGCUCUUUUUAUUCUCAGAAUAAUCUUGACUAGUAGGUUAGAUCAAGUGGUAGCUGACAAGGUUGCCCACUAAACAUUUUGCCUGAGAAGAAAACCGAAUCUGGGCAUGCCCUAAGUCCAGCACUUCAGCUGUUACAUCACAAGGGCUCAUCGGUAAGGCAAAUAGAUGAAGUAAUAAUAAUACAUGUUUCCCUGAAAAGGACAUAAUUAUUCGAUGUGACACUGCAGAUGUUGAGAUGACUAUUAGACCAAUAAUGACAUGGUGAUAAAGCACUUGAGAUUUGUAAAACUGCUUUUGUAAAAUUGGUGAUAUAGUCUGUGCUCUUUGCUGAUCUAGUUUUAAAAAAUGUGUCGGUGAAUGUUUUUUGAAUUUCCAUUACAGGAUCUAUAUAGAAUGCAGAAGGAAUGACACCCUCUGCGUGUGCUGCCCCAUAUUGUGUGCCUGGUCUCAGUGUAGAUGACUGAUUGAGUCUGUUUCUGCAAGUGAACCAACUAGACCAGGGGUUCCCUACCCCUGAACUAGACGUUCAUUUGAGGCCAUUGUUUUAACAUAUGAAAUCGUGGUGUCAUUCAACAGCAAUGGUCUUAAAUCACACAGUAAUGUUCUGUGCAGUGUUGCAAAGCUUCAUACAGAGAAAAGCACUUCUCAUGACUGCAGGAGCUAUAAAUGGGAUUCCAAAUAAGAGACUUUCAUUAAAAUUGGCAUUCUCCUGCUGUUUCCUUAUUCCAUGCUGCUUGUAUCUCUACAGAACAUUUCUCUCCCUCCCCUUCUUUCCCCCCUUGUUUGCCCUGAAAUUUUGUAAACCCAUUUUUGUUUCUUUUUUACACUCUUUUCAACCAGAUGAAACUUACUGUUAAUAAAACUAUCUUCUUUAA